GUUAAUAAAAAUCGGUGCGUUGCAAUUUUUUGUGACGUUCUGGAGUUUGAGUUAUCUUAACUUGGUUCUAAGAGGCUUAAAAUUGACCUUUUUUGUGCAUUUUAGACGUACAUAAAUUUUUUUUUAUUCGUCCAUCCUAAUGCCAAAAUCUAUUAGAUGCGACCAUAUCUUGUGGUUCCGUGUCUAUAAAUUUUUCAUG
rnacentral:misc_RNA from 1 species